GAUGAACGCUGGCGGCGUGCCUAAUACAUGCAAGUCGAGCGAACAGACGAGGAGCUUGCUCCUUCGACGUUAGCGGCGGACGGGUGAGUAACACGUAGGUAACCUACCUAUAAGACUGGGAUAACUUCGGGAAACCGGAGCUAAUACCGGAUAAUAUUUCGAACCGCAUGGUUCGAUAGUGAAAGAUGGCUUUGCUAUCACUUAUAGAUGGACCUGCGCCGUAUUAGCUAGUUGGUAAGGUAACGGCUUACCAAGGCAACGAUACGUAGCCGACCUGAGAGGGUGAUCGGCCACACUGGAACUGAGACACGGUCCAGACUCCUACGGGAGGCAGCAGUAGGGAAUCUUCCGCAAUGGGCGAAGGCCUGACGGAGCAACGCCGCGUGAGUGAUGAAGGUCUUCGGAUCGUAAAACUCUGUUAUUAGGGAAGAACAAACGUGUAAGUAACUGUGCACGUCUUGACGGUACCUAAUCAGAAAGCCACGGCUAACUACGUG
rnacentral:rRNA from 1 species